rnacentral:rRNA from 1 species
GGGUUGUGAGGUUAAGCGACUAAGCGUACACGGUGGAUGCCCUGGCAGUCAGAGGCGAUGAAGGGCGUGCUAAUCUGCGAUAAGCGCCGGUAAGGUGAUAUGAACCGUUAUAACCGGCGAUACCCGAAUGGGGAAACCCAGUGUGACUCGUCACACUAUCAUUAACUGAAUCCAUAGGUUAAUGAGGCGAACCGGGGGAACUGAAACAUCUAAGUACCCCGAGGAAAAGAAAUCAACCGAGAUUCCCCCAGUAGCGGCGAGCGAACGGGGAGGAGCCCAGAGCCUGAAUCAGCAUGUGUGUUAGUGGAAGCGUCUGGAAAGGCGCGCGAUACAGGGUGACAGCCCCGUACACAAAAGCGCAUGUGCUGUGAGCUCGAUGAGUAGGGCGGGACACGUGGUAUCCUGUCUGAAUAUGGGGGGACCAUCCUCCAAGGCUAAAUACUCCUGACUGACCGAUAGUGAACCAGUACCGUGAGGGAAAGGCGAAAAGAACCCCGGCGAGGGGAGUGAAAAAGAACCUGAAACCGUGUACGUACAAGCAGUGGGAGCACCCUUUUGGGGUGUGACUGCGUACCUUUUGUAUAAUGGGUCAGC